GCGACAGGCUUAACACAUGCAAGUCGAGGGGCAGCACAGGUAGCAAUACCGGGUGGCGACCGGCGCACGGGUGAGUAACGCGUAUGCAACUUGCCUAUCAGAGGGGGAUAACCCGGCGAAAGUCGGACUAAUACCGCAUGAAGCAGGGAUCCCGCAUGGGAAUAUUUGCUAAAGAUUCAUCGCUGAUAGAUAGGCAUGCGUUCCAUUAGGCAGUUGGCGGGGUAACGGCCCACCAAACCGACGAUGGAUAGGGGUUCUGAGAGGAAGGUCCCCCACAUUGGUACUGAGACACGGACCAAACUCCUACGGGAGGCAGCAGUGAGGAAUAUUGGUCAAUGGCCGAGAGGCUGAACCAGCCAAGUCGCGUGAGGGAUGAAGGUUCUAUGGAUCGUAAACCUCUUUUAUAAGGGAAUAAAGUGCGGGACGCGUCCCGUUUUGUAUGUACCUUAUGAAUAAGGAUCGGCUAACUCCGUGCCAGCAGCCGCGGUAAUACGGAGGAUCCGAGCGUUAUCCGGAUUUAUUGGGUUUAAAGGGUGCGUAGGUGGCCUUUUAAGUCAGCGGUGAAAGUCUGUGGCUCAACCAUAGAAUUGCCGUUGAAACUGGGGGGCUUGAGUAUGUUUGAGGCAGGCGGAAUGCGUGGUGUAGCGGUGAAAUGCAUAGAUAUCACGCAGAACCCCGAUUGCGAAGGCAGCCUGCCAAGCCAUUACUGACGCUGAUGCACGAAAGCGUGGGGAUCAAACAGGAUUAGAUACCCUGGUAGUCCACGCAGUAAACGAUGAUCACUAGCUGUUUGCGAUACAUUGUAAGCGGCACAGCGAAAGCGUUAAGUGAUCCACCUGGGGAGUACGCCGGCAACGGUGAAACUCAAAGGAAUUGACGGGGGCCCGCACAAGCGGAGGAACAUGUGGUUUAAUUCGAUGAUACGCGAGGAACCUUACCCGGGUUUGAACGCAUUCGGACCGAGGUGGAAACACCUUUUCUAGCAAUAGCCGUUUGCGAGGUGCUGCAUGGUUGUCGUCAGCUCGUGCCGUGAGGUGUCGGCUUAAGUGCCAUAACGAGCGCAACCCUUGCCACUAGUUACUAACAGGUGAUGCUGAGGACUCUGGUGGGACUGCCAGCGUAAGCUGCGAGGAAGGCGGGGAUGACGUCAAAUCAACACGGCCCUUACAUCCGGGGCGACACACGUGUUACAAUGGCGUGGACAAAGGGAGGCCACCUGGCGACAGGGAGCGAAUCCCCAAACCACGUCUCAGUUCGGAUCGGAGUCUGCAACCCGACUCCGUGAAGCUGGAUUCGCUAGUAAUCGCGCAUCAGCCAUGGCGCGGUGAAUACGUUCCCGGGCCUUGUACACACCGCCCGUCAAGCCAUGGGAGCCGGGGGUACCUGAAGUCCGUAACCGCGAGGAUCGGCCUAGGGUAAAACUGGUGACUGGG
rnacentral:rRNA from 1 species